CUCGCUCGCUACCAGGGUCAGUGAGGUUCGAGUGCCAGGGCAUUGGGGCGGUGGGAUGUUUAGAGACGACUGUCGAGCUGGCUAAUGAUGGUUGCUCGGAGGAUAUUGAUGUGGUCGAGGUGCUAGCCUCCUUGGCAUCAGAUAUCGAAUCACGAUCCGAGCCGAAUUCAUUUAUUGAUGUAUAUCUCGCCCUUGUUCUUCCUGAGCCAGUGGCUGCCACAGUGACCACUCCCCUGGUCGAGGUUACUUCUUCCCUGGGUCCUUUGGUCUUAGAUCCCUCAUCAGAUGUGUAUCUGACAUGAGUAGGCUCCCUUCUUCUUUUUCUUUUGAGGACUGCUUACAACCAGGCCCUCCCUUUUCCUCUAAAGAGUAGGUGACUGGCCCUCCCUUUUCCUCUUAAGAGUAGGUGAAUGGUUUGCUGUGGGCUGGCCUUCAACAAUUGAGAGGGUGCUCUCUCUCUGACCUUGAGACGGGGAUUAUUAACAUCCAUGGGUGCGGCUGCUCUAGCGAGCUAUAGUUUUAAGGAGUCGUCAUUUGCACGCUUCCAAGGUCUCUUAGUAGCGAAGAGCAGUUUGCUCCUUAUCAAUCAUCCCAUGAUGGAUAGCUACUCGGAGUUAAGGCAAUUGGAUUUAUAGAGGUAGGACUACUUUGCUCCCAUAGACCAACGAGUAUGGCGUUGCUUCAGUGGGACCACGAAUGGUGAUGCGGUAGGCCUAUAGAACUUUGGUAAAAAUUGGUAGGGUUAAAGCUGGAAACCCUGUUUGAUAAACUAUGGUGUUGGCAAUUUCACUUGUUUGACAAUGGGAAAGCGGGAAACUGCCUGUAAUACUAUUCAUUAUCAUGGGAAAACCUACUCUAAGAGCUGAGAUCCUCAAGCUCAUCUUCUUAGCUUUGCCUUCAUCUGAUUCAGCUCUAUCGCGGAACUCGAUAUAUCUCCUCACCUUGCUAAGAACUUGACGUUGAAAUGCUCUCUUGAUUAGAGCUCUGAGCGGGCCUCAUUCGUAUAUAAUUGUGUAAAAUACAAGUGGCAUUUACAAUUUUAACUUGUAUCGUAAGUUGUAAGGACCACAAUUUUCUCCCAGUUUAGAGAUGCGCACGGCGAUGGAGGGUGAGACAAAGGCCUAGUGCCGUUUGGAGCAUCGCUGCACAUGUAUAAGAGCUUAGGGCCGUCUGUAAAGUAAAGACGUGAGAGAGAACCAACGUCGUGUGUGAAAAGUCAGCACUGUGCGUGAAGAUAGGGAUGUGCAUCCCCAUCUGUGGAAGAGGCCUAACGUCGGCUGUGAACAGAGAGACGGACGAGUAACGCCAUGAGUGUAGCGCCGUUUGGAGCAUCGCGGCGGGUGUAGGUGGCUAUCGCUGCUUGUGAAGGCAGUAAAGGAGCAACGUCGUGCAUGAGCUAAGGAUAGAGCCAUGAGUGAAAAGAGAAGAUGUGACUGCUGCCAGCGCCACACUUGUCAGUGCCAUACGUUUCAGUGUCGUACAUGUCAUGUACAAUGACCUUCACCUACCCAGUCAACAACAGUGGAUCCCACCUACCGUGGGUACUUAGCCCUCUCCCUUCCCCCUGCCAAUGCCAUUUUCCUCAUUUUUCAUCUCUCUCUCCCUCUCUCUCCAAGGAGCUUACUGCCACCAGUUAAAGGGAGCUCCUCGUGAAGCUCAUGAAGCUUGAGAAGGAAGUGAGCGGGGUUGAAGACACUGUAAGGAACAUGUAAGUGGGUUUAGUAUCGUGCAUCAUUUCACUUCAUGGGAUAUAAAUUUAAGUUGAUAUGAAAAGAAAGAUGAUAGAAUGAGGUGUAUGAAUAUAGAUGAAUAAAAAGGGAAUUGAAUGAGUGAUUGAGCUUUGA